rnacentral:lncRNA from 1 species
CCGCUAUAAAUCCUUCCUAGGCUCUUCUCGAUCACCUAGUAAUUCCAUAUUCAAUCUCGGUGACUAACCAAAAGUUGAUUUCCAAACAACCACAGUUCAUAUCUUGUUGAUUCCAACAACGUCCUUAUUUGUCGCACACAAUCCAACUAGUCACGUUCCUUAUCGUUCUUCACUGUGACAAACAUACUUUUCUCCAUUCUAUCAGUUCUUAUUCGCAUCUCGUGACUAUCUUAAAGUCAUAACAUCCUAAAGUUCAUCCACACACAAUCUUUAUUCCAAUCUUGACUAGUCUCUUCGAACUAUUCAAAAUGUUUACUUUCCUUAAAGGUUCACUUGCUAAUAAUUAACAAGUUUAGCUCACACCGAUAAAACUCUAUAGGUAUUCCCACCAUUCUUAUAACC